UACGGAGGGUGCAAGCGUUAUCCGGAUUCACUGGGUUUAAAGGGUGCGUAGGUGGGCAGGUAAGUCAGUGGUGAAAUCUCCGGGCUUAACCCGGAAACUGCCAUUGAUACUAUCUGCCUUGAAUACCGUGGAGGUGAGCGGAAUAUGUCAUGUAGCGGUGAAAUGCUUAGAUAUGACAUAGAACACCAAUUGCGAAGGCAGCUCACUACACGAAUAUUGACACUGAGGCACGAAAGCGUGGGGAUCAAACAGG
rnacentral:rRNA from 1 species